CCUUCUUGCUCUGGGGAAGGAGAGAGGGAGAGUCUGGGUGUCCCACCCCCUCUACUUGUAAUACCUGUGAACCUACCCUGGGCCUCAGUUUCCUCUCUCUGUGCCACAGGUGUGAUAGCCACAAGCAAGAGAUUAUCCAACCAUACACGAAUUUGCCAGGUCCUGGAUCUGCCUGCCAUCUCUCCUGAGCCUGGACUCACAGGUCACAGGGUGGAGUGAUUCUGAGGGAAAAGAGAACCGGAGACAACUUGGGGACUGAACAACCUGCUGGAUGUUUGUUGAACAUGUUCCUGAAGCUGGGUGCAGGGACCCAAGACUGCAUCUGUUGAAUACCUGGAAUCCCAACACUCAUGAAGCAGUGGCAGGAGGAUCGAAACCAGCCUGGCUAUAAGCAAGACCCUGUCUGAAAAAGAAG